rnacentral:rRNA from 1 species
UACGUAGGGGGCGAGCGUUAUCCAGAUUUACUGGGCGUAAAGGGCGCGUAGGCGGCUUGGCAAGUGGAUGGUGAAAUCCCUCGGCUUAACCGAGGAACUGCCGUCCAAACUGCUUUGCUUGAGACCGGGAGAGGUGAGUGGAAUUCCCAGUGUAGCGGUGAAAUGCGUAGAUAUUGGGAGGAACACCAGUGGCGAAGGCGGCUCACUGGACCGGUACUGACGCUGAGGCGCGAAAGCGUGGGGAGCAAACGGG